rnacentral:rRNA from 1 species
UACGAAGGGGACUAGCGUUGUUCGGAAUCACUGGGCGUAAAGCGCACGUAGGCGGAUUUGUAAGUCAGGGGUGAAAUCCCGGGGCUCAACCUCGGAACUGCCUUUGAUACUGCGAGUCUUGAGUCCGAUAGAGGUGGGUGGAAUUCCUAGUGUAGAGGUGAAAUUCGUAGAUAUUAGGAAGAACACCAGUGGCGAAGGCGACUUACUGGACACAUAUUGACGCUGAGGUGCGAAAGCGUGGGGAGCAAACAGG